CUUUACGAAACGUACCCAAUAAAUUGAUGUAAUUGGUGAUUUUACGUAUUAUCACGUCACUUCAACGCUUUAUUACAUCGCUACCCGUAAAAUCUGAUUGAGAAUAAUCAUCUCUCGGUUACGUCAUUAAAGCAUAAAAUUGACCAUAUUUUUCAACAAUUUAGUACAUUCAAAAUGCUGCACAUCAUGCUGGUUCACAAUAAUAUAUAAUAUUACAGAAAUCAACGUAAUAUCGCUUUAAAAAUUGCGGCAUACUCGUCAACAACACAGUAGCCAACUGACAGCCAUUUUCACUUUUUUGUUUGCGCUGAACGACAGUGAUCGGCGAUCAACAUUUUACUUUUAAAACUAUAUUUAUUUGUAAAAAUGUGAACUUGAACUAGUGCAGUGUCCAUCGCUAUUGCUGACAACAAUUCGUGCUAAGGUGCAGAUCGAAUACUCAUCAUGAGGGUGAGAAAAACAAUACCACAGGUAAAAUAAUGGAGUUUGUGAGUUUGUUGCUUUCCUGCGAAGGUACCCGUUCGUCGAUAAGAAAAUAAUAUGGUUCCGCAGGUUCUCUUCCGGAAUCGGAAGCACACGUUAAUAACAAGCGAUUGGAUAAUUAGCAAAACAUGAGUUGUACGGAGGUGUCGACGUGUCAAAGGUAAACUUAUUAAAGAUCACAAAUGCGGUAGGGAGAGCAACCAUUUGAGCAGCAUCUUUACUACCGUCCCGAAUUACUAGUUACGAAUUGCAUAGUAGGUAAAGGUUUCCAGUGAUGAUGUGUAAACAACUAAGCCGUUUGAUUGGGAUGUGUAAUGAACGCUUAGGACGGGAGUAGGAGUGCUACCAAAAUUAUCCUCUGUUAUCCUAAUAGUUUAACGGUAAGGUCAUAUCAAACAAGAAAAAAUAAUAUUAGAAAUCAAAUAAAACUGAAAAUGAAUUCGAAAAAGAAAAUUUAAAAAUAAACAAUAAAAACUAAAAAUGAAAAUUCAAAUUCAAAUAAUUAAAAACAAACAUU